WGAGGGUGCAAGCGUUKUUCGGAAUUAUUGGGCGUAAAGCGCGUGUAGGCGGCUUUGCAAGUCGGGUGUGAAAGCCCUCAAYUUAACUGAGGAAGUGCGCCCGAAAMUGCAGAGCUUGAGUACCGGAGAGGAUGGCGGAAUUCCCCAAGUAGAGGUGAAAUUCGUAGAUAUGGGGAGGAACACCGGUGGCGAAGGCGGCCAUCUGGACGGAUACUGACGCUGAGACGCGAAAGCGUGGGUAGCAAACAGGAUUAGAUACCCUGGUAGUCCACGCCGUAAACGAUGAGAACUAGGUAUCGUGGGUGUUGACCCCCGCGGUGCCGUAGCUAACGCAUUAAGUUCUCCGCCUGGGAAGUACGGCCGCAAGGSKR
rnacentral:rRNA from 1 species